AAACUGCCCGCGCAAGCGGUGAGGAAGGUGGGGAUGACGUCAAAUCAGCACGGCCCUUAUGUCCGGGGCUACACACGUGCUACAAUGGCCGGUACAGUGGGCAGCUCAUGCGCGAGCAUUUGCUAAUCUCUAAAACCGGUCUCAGUCCGGAUCGGAGUCUGCAACCCGACUCCGUGAAGCUGGAUUCGCUAGUAAUCGCACAUCAGCCAUGGUGCGGUGAAUACGUUCCCGGGCCUUGUACACACCGCCCGUCAAGCCAUGGAAGCCGGGGGUACCUGAAGUCCGUAACCGUUCAAGGAGCGGCCCAGGGUAAAACCGGUGACUGGGGCUAAGUCGUAACAAGGUAACCGU
rnacentral:rRNA from 1 species